ACCAUCAUCUGUUGUUACAUCUUUUUCUAAUUUAUAUGUUAUUUGGAUUUCAGGACUGGACUUCGGCGAAGUCUGCACCACCAUUACCGCCAUCAACACCUUUUGUUCCAGUCUCGAAGAUCCAGUUGCGAUUUCACAUAAGCUUUGGACAUCUUCUUUCUUUCUCUUUUCUUCAUCCGUUCCCCUCACCACCUCACACCACCCUGUUCUCCCUUUAAAAAUCCUCGACAUCACCCGAAGCAGUUAAGCUUUUAACCCAGUACGUGAAGUUUUUGUUUGUUGUUGUAGUUAUCAUGUUUUGAAGAACAAGGCAAAGCACUCCAUGUUUUCGAUAGAAUGCCCCAGAUAAGAUGUACCUUCAUUUUUUUUUUUGGUAUUUUUAUGUUUGGAAGAAGGUAGUUACCAGUUAGUCUUUAUCUUGCUGUUCUUUUUGGUUUCUAACAAUUUUUGGUUUACAGAAACUUAUGUUGAGGUCAUGCCCACUGAAAUGACAUCACUAGAAGUUAAACAUAUGAUUACUCUCAUAUUUCGUUUUUUUCAUAGGUUGUUAUUGACCAUUUUUGUUUUUAGAUAGUUUGACAUUUCAAACACUUCUUCUGCAUAGCAAGAUUGGAUUGAACUUCUUUUUUGUGGAAUUUAUUGUAGGACUUUAAAUAUUUGUUUUUUGAUGAUUUUAAUAGGAGAAAAUCAAAUCUUGGGUCUUUUUUUUUGUUAUUCUGGAAUAUACAAGGUAAUUUUGUUUAAUAUUUAAGCAACAUCACAGCAGCCAAGCAAAACUAUAACAACAUAAGAUUUUGCAUCGAUGAGCAACAAAAAAGAGGGACAACUUGGAACACACACAAAAAUCUUGCAAUAGAACCAAAAACACAUCUGAAGAGCAGUAGGGGAAAAAACUCCAAAGGGGCAAAUACUAUGCAACAAGGUGAAGGAUUACCAUCACGCCAAGAGCCCACAAUACUAAACAUCAAACUUCAGAAAGGAACCAUAGGGGCAAAAACGUCCAACUCCCCAAAAAGAGAUACAUACCAUAUAAAAAUAAGCAGCAACAACAUCCACCACAUUGGCAAAAGUGUUCAGCAUACGGUAAACAAAGAAAAGCCGUAAACACAUGAUACAUGGUAUAACAUCCUUAAUCCAAAUCAAAUACAAUACUUACCUCAACUUCUGCAUUAUGUUUUGUAUUUUGUGCAUAUACAUAUAAUCUAUUUGUGAAAUUUCCUUUUGUUCUACAUAGGCAGAAGAAUCUAACAAUAUUUGUGGUAAAGAGUACAGACCCCUUGGUGUCUUCAUAUUAGCUUUGUUUUCACUGAAUUUGACAAUACUCAUCUCUACAUUAGUUGUGUUUAGCUUAGUGAUUAAUUUGAUGUUUGUUCAUGUUAUUCAUUUUAUGUUCCUAUUAUUGUUUUGCUGUUCUAAAAUAAAGCAUAGGAAAAAAGGUAUUUUUUUUUUUAAAUAUGGUCAAAAGUGUUAGCUUAUUGUUGUUCCAUGUUCCCGAAAGGCCGAAACAAUAAAACGGAGGAUGCUCUGCUAAAUUAAAGGAAUACCAAUAAAGAAAACAUAUGGUAACCUAUCAACAUAGACAAUGACGGACAAAGUAAUAGAAAAUAAGAAAAUACAUACAUAAGAUAUGUAUUUAAUGGAGCUAAUGAGGUGGAAUAAGUUGUUAUGCAAGUAAAUAAUUUAAUUAAAAACGCAAAAUUUGUAGCAAAUCGAAAAUACUAAAACCUGGAUAAAAUAGUUACAGUUUUAAAUAACUUUUUAGAAAGGACAAAUCUUAUCGGUUAUGAUAUUUUUAUGUUUUUAAUAACUUUAUUAUUUAUAAUAAUUAAUGUUGAACCACCUCGAUCCUUCGUAAGUUACAUUUAAUAAUUGUUUAUAAACAUAACAGUUUGAAAUAGCUCAUGUAAAGCACUAAAUUGUUACAUAAUUGUAAAUAUUUUUUUAAACACCAAACACACACAUUUUGUUAUAUUUAUAAAUUACAUAUUUCGAUUACAGGCUUGAACCCAC
rnacentral:lncRNA from 1 species